AUUUAUUAAACAACUUGAACACGAACUGGUUGGUUAAAAUAUCAAGUUAAAAAAUUCUAUGUAUAUUCGACUUAUUAUUUAUUAAUAACUCGAAUACGAGUCGAUUUGUGAACAGCAAGUUAGAUUGUCGAGUCUACUCAAAAGGAAAGAGGACACGGCGUGAAAUUGGAGUGGAUGGGGGCGCAUGCGGAUUCGCGGCUGUGAAAGAAAAGCGUCCUCCAAGUAGUAGGGCCGUCAACGAGUGGUACACGAGCACGCUAGGACCGGCUCGUGUUCACUUGUUUAUUAAACUAGUCGAACGCAAGCUGGUUUGUGAAAAUAUCGAGUAGAAAAAUUUAGCUUAUGUUUGGCUUAUUUAUUAAUAACUCGAAUACGAGUCGAUUUGCAAACAAUAAAAUAGAUUUUCAACUCUACUACUAGAUGAAGAGUUACUAGAUGAAGAGUUGAAAGGGAAGAGGACAGAGUGGGAAAUGGGAACUGAUGGGGGUGCAUGCGGAUUCGGGGCUAUGAAAGAAAAGCGUGCUCCAAGUAGUAGGGCCGUCAAUGAGCCGAACACCGCAAGCGAGGACCAGCAUGUGUUCGCUUGUUUAUUAAACAAGCUGAAUAUGAGCUGGUUUGUUAAAAUAUCGAGCAGAAACCUUCAGCUUAUGUUCGACUUAUUUAUUAAUGACUGGAAUACGAGUCAUUCGCGAACAAUAAAUUAGAUUGUCAGCUCUACUACUAGAUAAAAAGUUGAAAUGGAAGAGGACACGGCGUGUACUAUCCCUGAGGUUUAAUUGCUGGAAUGACUAUAGAAUUAGUGACUGGUCGACAUGUCUGUAAAGUGUCGGAACGAGUCGGAGUCAUUUGGCGUAAAUUGGAUGCGAAAACUGACUCGACGCACUCAAAUAAGUCAAAACUGAAGUUCUAGCAAUUUAGG
rnacentral:lncRNA from 1 species